GAUGAACGCUGGCGGCGUGCCUAAUACAUGCAAGUCGAGCGAACAGACGAGGAGCUUGCUCCUCGGACGUUAGCGGCGGACGGGUGAGUAACACGUGGAUAACCUACCUAUAAGACUGGGAUAACUUCGGGAAACCGGAGCUAAUACCGGAGAAUAUAUUGAACCGCAGGGUUCAAUAGUGAAAGACGGUGUUGCUGUCACUUAUAGAUGGAUCCGCGCCGCAUUAGCUAGUUGGUAAGGUAACGGCUUACCAAGGCAACGAUGCGUAGCCGACCUGAGAGGGUGAUCGGCCACACUGGAACUGAGACACGGUCCAGACUCCUACGGGAGGCAGCAGUAGGGAAUCUUCCGCAAUGGGCGAAAGCCUGACGGAGCAACGCCGCGUGAGUGAUGAAGGUCUUCGGAUCGUAAAACUCUGUUAUUAGGGAAGAACAAAUGUGUAAGUAACUAUGCCCGUCUUGACGGUACCUAAUCAGAAAGCCCCGGCUAACUACGUG
rnacentral:rRNA from 1 species